rnacentral:rRNA from 1 species
UCUGAUCUCCGAAGCUAAGCAGGGUCGGGUCUGCUUAGCAAUGGGAUGGGAGA